rnacentral:rRNA from 1 species
UGUCUUGUAAAAGGAAUGAUGGGAAUUUAAACCUCUUCCAGAGUAUCAAUUGGAGGGCAAGUCUGGUGCCAGCAGCCGCGGUAAUUCCAGCUCCAAUAGCGUAUAUUAAAAUUGUUGCAGUUAAAAAGCUCGUAGUUGAAUUUCUGCUGCAUCGUCGCAUCUCUUGCUGAGUGCUUCGUUUCGGCUUAUUUCGGAUUGAUUUUUUCUUUCCGGAUGAUUACUUUGAGAAAAUUAGAGUGCUCAAAGCAGGCUUUUGCCUUGAAUAGUUUAGCAUGGAAUAAUAAAGUAGGACUUUGGUUCUAUUUUGUUGGUUUUAGGUACCAAAGUAAUGGUUAAUAGGAACAGUUGGGGGCAUUCGUAUUUAACUGUCAGAGGUGAAAUUCUUAGAUUUGUUAAAGACGAACUACUGCGAAAGCAUUUGCCAAGGAUGUUUUCAUUAAUCAAGAACGAAAGUUAGGGGAUCGAAGACGAUCAGAUACCGUCGUAGUCCUA